rnacentral:rRNA from 1 species
UACGUAGGGUGCAAGCGUUGUCCGGAAUUAUUGGGCGUAAAGAGCUCGUAGGCGGUCUGUCGCGUCGGAUGUGAAAAUCCAGGGCUCAACCCUGGACCUGCAUUCGAUACGGGCAGACUAGAGUUCGGUAGGGGAGACGUGGAAUUCCUGGUGUAGCGGUGAAAUGCGCAGAUAUCAGGAGGAACACCGGUGGCGAAGGCGGGUCUCUGGGCCGAAACUGACGCUGAGGAGCGAAAGCGUGGGGAGCGAACAGG